rnacentral:rRNA from 1 species
CAAUGGGCGAAAGCCUGACGCAGCCAUGCCGCGUGAAUGAUGAAGGUCUUAGGAUUGUAAAAUUCUUUCACCGGGGACGAUAAUGACGGUACCCGGAGAAGAAGCCCCGGCUAACUUCGUGCCAGCAGCCGCGGUAAUACGAAGGGGGCUAGCGUUGCUCGGAAUUACUGGGCGUAAAGGGAGCGUAGGCGGACAUUUAAGUCAGGGGUGAAAUCCCGGGGCUCAACCUCGGAAUUGCCUUUGAUACUGGGUGUCUUGAGUAUGAGAGAGGUGUGUGGAACUCCGAGUGUAGAGGUGAAAUUCGUAGAUAUUCGGAAGAACACCAGUGGCGAAGGCGACACACUGGCUCAUUACUGACGCUGAGGCUCGAAAGCGUGGGGAGCAAACAGGAUUAGAUACCCUGGUAGUCCACGCCGUAAACGAUGAUUGCUAGUUGUCGGGAUGCAUGCAUUUCGGUGACGCAGCUAACGCAUUAAGCAAUCCGCCUGGGGAGUACGG